CUCAGCACUGCCUCCUGCAGUGUGAGGGAGCUCCCACCACAUCCCCAUAGCGAGCUGCUGAGGUGCAUGGGAUAAUUCUGCUUAGGAGCACCAAGCUCCAGUGACACACAUCAGAAAGCUACAGGGAUUAGAAAUCAUUCAAAAGGACACACUGCUUUGAAACUACAAGACACCCACCUGCCUGGGACCCAGCCAAGGCUGGUCACAUUGUUGCACUAAUGGGCCUGCAUGUGAAGGCUCCAGUUCUGGCAUGAAUCGCAGCUCUUUGAGAUCCAUCUCUUCCCUGAGAGCUGGCUGCCAUUACUGCUGACAUGAGUGAAGAGAUUCCCACUAAGUUUCAAGGACAACUGGAUUAAUUACCAGGUUUUUGUACUGGAAAGGUAUGCAAUUAGAAAAAGCCACGCUGCUCCCACUGGGCUGGAGCCAAGGAUGACCAAGUAUGCUUGCUCAAGUGCAGCUGUGGCACUUGAGGUGCAGCCCAGACAAUGGAACCCAGUCUGGUCAGAAGCUGCAGUCUGGCAACUUAGACUCACUGGGGGUCUGCCCAAGCAGGGGAGCAGCAAGAGGGAAUUUAUUUUAUGCAUCAGAGCUGCAAUUUCUAAACGGUAGGGUUUGAGCUGCAGAAGUUAUGUCAGCAUAACAACUUCACAACAGCCAGUGAGACUUCUGUCAGGUGUGUGGCAUACCAGGAGGAGUCUUCACCGGGAAAACAAUUAUCAGGUGCUUUGCACUGAAUGGAAAGCAUAAAAAGUUUUAUUAAUGUUUUUUAUAUAGUGUUUCUUGCCUCAUUUCAGUACUCCCUAACAUAAAAAAACCCCAAAAAACAACCAACAGAACCUUUUCUGAAGUAUAAUUAUCUAUUUCCCACAAAUCGUAUGAAGUGAUGCCUCUACACUAACUCCAGCUGUAGGUCUCAGCCUCUCAAACAGGGUUUGUGUGUGCCCUUACAGAAUGAUAGAAUAGUUUGGGUUCAAAGGAACAUUUAAAGGUGACAUAGUCCAGCUGCCAUGUGAUAAGCAGGAACGUCUCCAACUCAGAGCCAUGCCCAACAUGCCCUUUAACAUCUCCAGGGAUGGGUCAUCUACAACUGCCCUGAGCAACCUGUUCCACUGAUUCACCACCCUCACCGUAAAACUUUUCUUCCUCAUAUGUAGUCUGAAUUGACCUAGUCUUUUAGUUUAGAACAAUUCCCUCUUCUCGUAUAUCAACAGGCCAUGCUAAAAAGUCUGUCCCCACCUUUCUAACAAGCUCCCUUUAAGUACUGAGAGGCUCUAAUACGGUUUCCUGGGAGCCUUCUCUUUUCCAGGGAACAACCCCAAUGUCCUUAUUCUUGCGAAUUUUCCCAUGAACUCCCAUGGAAAUAGCUGCUUCCGUAAUGCUAUGCACGUGUUUUGAGGGCUCAGAAAAGACAGGGAAAUGACAAACAUAUGAGCUCAAAACUUCUGAGAAAAUGAGGACUGCCAGUGUUUCUGCAAUUAAAGCUAUGCUCUGUCAACU